rnacentral:lncRNA from 1 species
GACCGCUGAGGGGGCGGGACUUCGAGGUCAGGAUGGGAGGUGAGAAGGGACAGACGGAAAGGAAACAGGGCGUCGCUUCCGCCUAGCAACGAGAGUGUUGCGGGCGUCGCUAAGGAGGGGAAGCCGCCGGUUCCGGACAUGGCGGAGCAAGCGCUGGGGGUGCGUGGCCAAGGAGCCCGGAUCAGAGAGAAGCCAAACAAAUUCCUUAGCAGCACCCAGAAAACUACUACUCCUCACCAUCUGAGCCUCAAAGGACCGGAAAAGAGCCAGACACUGCACAGCAACUGGGAAGGAACUUCAUUAUUUAAAAAACAAACUGAAACUAGCUUGUCUCCAUAUAUAGAGGAGAGUCCCAGCAUUGAUGACUUAGAAGAAAGUUUGCGGAAACUUAAAGUUCAGGUGGACAGCUUGGCCUCAAGUCUGAGUUUUGACCCUCAUCAAGAUUAUGCCAUAGAUUCUAGCACUACAGUCAACUCGAGCACCUUUAAUUCUACGUGGCCAAGAGUUCAUAAUGGGACCUAUGCAGAGGCAGACAUUGGAGAUUCACCAAAGCAAUCUGCAGAGUCAGAGUGGUUUCUGAACCCAAGACAUCUGGUCAAACCACUGGGAGAAUAUCCAGCAUUAACAAGCUUAGGCCUUCCGACAUUCUCCACAUCACCCAUCAACCGUGUGCCAGGGCUCCUGGGGAGUGAGAUUGCAAGUCGGAACUAUGUGCCGUCACUGGAUCUUGCACAUACAGAGUGUUUCCCAGUGAAGCUUGGUGCUCCUCAUGUGAUUGGAGUCAGGUCAUUGUUGCCCCCUAAAAUCCCAGUGCAGGAUCGCUCUCCUGAAAGGUCUCUCUCCCUUGAUCGUUCUGGGACCAACCGAUCCCGUUCAUUCUCUCCGGCUCCCAAAAGAACCCGGUGGCUAAGAUCUCGCUCACAGUCACCUAGACCCAUCUGGAGACCAAAUUCUGCUAAGGCAAAUGCCUGUGCCCAGCCUCCACCGCACUUUGGCAGGUCUAGGUACAGCAGAAAGAAAACCGCUUCAACCAGACAAUCACGAUCCAGAAUAUACAAACCAGGAGCCCUGGCUGCCAGGUCCUGUACUCCAACCAGGAUGAAUACAAGGGGAACACUGAGCUAUUCUUGGAGCCCUUACAGUCUGCCCUCCACUGCUGUAUCCUCCCCAACCGCUCAGGAGAUUAAUGAACGGUUUUUGCAGACUCUUGCAGAAGGUGCUGUUGGGAGGUCCCUGAUAGAAAUGUCCCCGUAUCAGAAGGAGCUGGCUCGUCUCAGGCUGGAGCGCCUGCGUGUGGAGGAGGAAUGGUUAUUAGAACUAAAGAGGCAGCAAGAAUUGGAGCGAACUCGGGGUCCAAAACCAAAGUGGUGGAGCAACACUUGA